UACACAAAUCGAAGAGGGCAGAGUUUGGUAUCGAUACUACACAAAUCGAAGAGGGCAGAGUUUGGUAUCGAUACUACACAACUCGAGAACUCUGCAAGUUUCAGUCGUGUGUCGUUCCGCUAUGGACUGCAGUCGCAGCUUCAAAGAAUGGAUUGUGCUUGGAGUAACAGAAAUAUAUAAUGUGCGGUUGUGAAGAGCGUGGGAACUUUGAUCACGUGCAACAACAAACCCGGAACGCGUCAUGGUUUCAAGUCGCAGUUGUCAUGCGCGUGUGUUGUGAAGAAUGACUAAUAGUUUCGUGGUUUGAAGUGAAUAACAGAAGUGCGGCGUCUAAUACACCUUCUUCAAGGCAGCAUCGGGCCAGAUUUCCACCACAUCAAAGCCGAUGCUGGAAUGCAACGUCCCCUCUUCGUUUCCAGAACAUAGAAAACUGUGGCCGGUCUGAUGCACCACUUCUGUCUCGGCUAUUUCAGAUUUUCCGACGGCCUGAGCAACGUGUUAGUGACCAAUGCGAGAAAAAUUUUCAUCUACCACGCAAAAGAAGAUCUAGACUUAAAGAUAUCUUCAGCUGGUUGGUCCCAGACGACGGACAGAGCUGAAGACGUUGAUUGCGUGUAAUGGAUUUACCUUCUGGUUCUGAUGAAGAAGGCCGCGAAGAGGAUGACGACCAAUGUCCCGAGGACCACCGAAACCAC